UUUACCGCAAGAUGAACCUUAAACCCUUCUUCUCCGUAUCCCCCGUUCUACUUCCAAUUUUAUGAGUUUAAAUUAAGAUGGUUUCAUUUUUCAUUUGAAAUGCAUCAAUUUGCGAGAAAUUUCGUCUGGGUAUGGCAUCUCACAGCUUUUUAUGGAGCUUUGGUAAGAAGGUCUUCACAUUUGGACUCAUAGGCCUUUACUGUUUCAGAUCGUUAUGCUAGCGUCCUUCCGAUGACUAUGUUCUAGUUGAGAAAUUUUGUCUGGGAAAGUACAAGUUUUCACAUGGAGAUGAUGUGAUUGUUUUUCGAUUACCUCGCAAUCACAAAGAGAAACAUGUGAAGAGAAUUAUUGGUUUGCCAGGUGACUGGAUUGGAACUCACAGUUCUUAUGAUGUUGUGAAGGUUCCGGAUGGACAUUGUUGGGUUGAGGGAGACAAUCCUUCUUCUAGCAUGGAGUCAAGAACUUAUGGCCCAAUUCCUUUGGGCCUAGUUCAAGGAAGGAUCACCCAUAUUGUAUGGCCUCCUCAAAGACUAGGAGCAGUGAAGAGAAAUAUUUAUGCAGACAGACUUUCUUCUUUCUAAUCAGGUCAUGAUAGUUGAUACUUUAUUUAGCGAGAAUACAUAUUUUCCUUCAUAAUGCUUUACCAUUUGAUCAAGGCAACAAUUUUUUGGAGAUCCCUUGCUUAA